AACGAACGCUGGCGGCAUGCCUAACACAUGCAAGUCGAACGAGACCUUCGGGUCUCGUGGCGCACGGGUGCGUAACGCGUGGGAACCUGCCCUUAGGUUCGGAAUAACUCCCCGAAAGGGGUGCUAAUACCGGAUAAUGUCUUCGGACCAACGAUUUAUCGCCUUUGGAUGGGCCCGCGUUGGAUUAGCUAGUUGGUAGGGUAAAAGCCUACCAAGGCGAAGAUCCCUAGCUGGUUUGGGAGGAUGGUCAGCAACACUGGGACUGGGACACGGCCCAGACUCCUCCGGAAGGCAGCAGGGGGGAAUAUUGGACGACGGGCGAAAGCCUGAUGCAGCAAUGCCGCGUAAGUGAUGAAGGCCUUAGGGUUGUAAAGCUCUUUUACCCGGGAUGAUAAUGACAGUACCGGGAGAAUAAGCUCCGGCUAACUCCGUG
rnacentral:rRNA from 1 species